AACGAACGCUGGCGGCAGGCUUAACACAUGCAAGUCGAGCGCAUCCUUCGGGGUGAGCGGCAGACGGGUGAGUAACGCGUGGGAACGUACCCUUUCCUACGGAAUAGCUCCGGGAAACUGGAAUUAAUACCGUAUACGCCCUUAGGGGGAAAGAUUUAUCGGGGAAGGAUCGGCCCGCGUUGGACUAGCUAGUUGGUGGGGUAAAGGCCUACCAAGGCGACGAUCCAUAGCGGGUCUGAGAGGAAGAUCAGCCACAUUGGGACUGAGACACGGCCCAAACUCCUACGGGAGGCAGCAGUGGGGAAUAUUGGACAAUGGGCGCAAGCCUGAUCCAGCCAUGCCGCGUGAGUGAUGAAGGCCUUAGGGUUGUAAAGCUCUUUCAGUAGGGAAGAUAAUGACGGUACCUACAGAAGAAGCCCCGGCUAACUUCGUGCCAGCCGCCGCAGUAA
rnacentral:rRNA from 1 species